rnacentral:rRNA from 1 species
AGUGAACGCUGGCGGUAGGCUUAACACAUGCAAGUCGAACGGCAGCACACUAAGCUCUUGCUCUUACGGGUGGCGAGUGGCGGCCGGGUGAUGAAUACAUCGUAAUCUACUUUUUCGUGGGGGAUAACGGCGGGAAACUUACGCUAAUACCGCAUACGCCCUAUGGGUGAAAGCAUGGGUUUUUCGGAGAUUGCGUGAUUGAAUGAGCCGGUGUCGGGUUAGCUAGUUGGUGGGGUAAGGGCCCACCAAGCCGACGCUCCGGAGCGGGGCGGAGAGGAUGGUCAGCCACACUAGAACGGAGACACGGUCCAGACUCCUACGGGAGGCAGCAGUGGGGAAUAUUGGACAAUGGGCGCAAGCAUGAUCCAGCCAUGCCGCGUGGGUGAAGAAGGCCUUCGGGUUGUAAAGCCCUCUUGUUGGGAGAGAAAAGCAGCAGGUUAAUACCUCGCUGUGCUGACGGUACCCAAAGAAUAAGCACCGGCUAACUUCGUG